CUUGCUUUAAACUUUAUAGCACACAUACGUCGCGGCGACGUAUUGGCGAUGUAAUCAAAAUGCAUCGGGGAUACGUAGUAUUUUGGUAGUUUGCUCACUGGCACGACGUCCCCGCGACGUCGCUGCGCUACGUUUCAGCGACAUAUAGC